rnacentral:RNase_P_RNA from 1 species
UGAGAAGUUCAGGUGUCCGCCGGUCCCUCAAGGGACGGGAGGAAAGUCCGGGCUCCGCAGGACAGGAUGCUCUCUAACGGAGAGUGGGGGCGACCCUAAGGAAAGUGCCACAGAAAACAGACUACCUCGAAACACUGUUUCGAGGCAAAGGUGAAAAGGCGAGGUAAGAGCUCACCAGUUCCCCGGGCGACCGGGGAAGCUUGGAAAACCCCAUCCGGAGCAAGACCAAAUAGAGAGGCGUUUGAGGGUGGUCCGCCCGAAGCCUCUGGGUUGGCCGCUUGAGACGUCGGGCAACCGGCGUCCUAGAUGAAUGGGCACCACCCCGUAAGGGGAACAGAACCCGGCUUACGAACUUCUCACCCC